rnacentral:lncRNA from 1 species
AACAACAACAACAUCAACAAAAUCAUCAACACCACCAAGAACAACAACAACAUCAACAAAAUCAUCAACACCACCAAGAACAACAAUCCAAAAAGAACCCAAUUUUUUUUCUUUCAAAAAUCAAUCUCGGUAAACCCAAAAACAUAAUCAUAAAUUUCUUUUGUUCUUCUAUUCUUCAUCCCUUUGCAACAACCUAAUUUCUUCCUAACCCAAAAACAUAAUUCUUCUUCCCAAUUCUUCAUCCCAUCAAUUCAAUCCCUAACCCAUAAAUUCAAAAACCCAGUUUCUGCCUUUAUAGGAAAUCUGGUUCCUAGUUCAUGCCUUUGUUCUUCAUCAAUCAUUUGUUUCAACGAAUUUGGCGGAGUGAUUCGGCGGAUUUCUAGGUUUUAUUUUAGAGAAAAAGGAUUAUGGGAUUCUAAGUUUGUGUAAGAGAAAAAAUAAUUUUGGGUUUUGAGAAGAAGAAUGAGAAGGAGAAAGAUUUAUGUUAUGUUACAGGAAAAGAUUGUGAGUUUUUUUUUUUU